rnacentral:rRNA from 1 species
GAUGAACGCUAGCUACAGGCUUAACACAUGCAAGUCGAGGGGAAACGGCAUUAAGUGCUUGCACUUUUUGGACGUCGACCGGCGCACGGGUGAGUAACGCGUAUCCAACCUUCCCAUGACUAAGGGAUAACCUGCCGAAAGGCAGACUAAUACCUUAUGGUCUUCACUGACGGCAUCAGAUGUGAAGUAAAGAUUUAUCGGUUAUGGAGGGGGAUGCGUCUGAUUAGCUUGUUGGCGGGGUAACGGCCCACCAAGGCAACGCUCAGUAGGGGUUCUGAGAGGAAGCUCCCCCAGAGUGGAACUGGGAAACGGUCCAAACUCCUACGGGAGGCAGCAGUGAGGGAUAUUGGUGAAUGGGCGAGAGCCUGAACCAGCCAAGUAGCGUGCAGGAUGACGGCCCUAUGGGUUGUAAACUGCUUUUGUAUGGGGAUAAAGUCAAUCACGUGUGAUUGUUUGCAGGUACCAUACGAAUAAGGACCGGCUAAUUCCGUG